ACACCGGCACACUUUAAUGGUUUCCAUCACAAACGAUGGUUAAAGCAUAAUUGGGUGUAAAUCCCAAACGGUCCCGCCACUGUGAGACGCAAGUCGAGUCAGGAUGCUGAUCAUUAAAACUGCAAUACA
rnacentral:ncRNA from 2 species